UACGUAGGGGGCAAGCGUUGUCCGGAAUCAUUGGGCGUAAAGAGCGCGUAGGCGGUCCGGUAAGUCCGCUCUGAAAGUCCGGGGCUCAACCCCGGGAGGCGGGCGGAUACUGUCGAGCUAGAGUCCGGAAGAGGCGAGUGGAAUUCCUGGUGUAGCGGUGAAAUGCGCAGAUAUCAGGAGGAACACCAAUGGCGAAGGCAGCUCGCUGGGACGGUACUGACGCUGAGGCGCGAAAGCGUGGGGAGCAAACAGG
rnacentral:rRNA from 1 species